rnacentral:lncRNA from 1 species
UUCAGAGUCUCUUCCCCAGAGCCCGUGCUAAGAAGACAAGCAGCACGUGUGAUGCUGUGUGCUGUGAAGCCAGCACAGGCAUGGCAGGCAGUUGGCUGGUCAGGGGCUUCUGCAGGGAGAGGCGAUUGUUGCCAAACUGGACAACACAAGCUCACUUUCCAGGGCCUGUGUGAUCGAAGGAGGUGACUGACAUGUGCAAACUUCCUCUAACUCUUUCUGUCUCUAGGUACAGUGUGCAGUUUGCGUGUGCUUCUCUUGAAUUCUCUUCAAGCAAGGAACUGUGGCACCACAGCCUACUGAGUGAGAUCACAAAGGCAGAGAGAGAGACUUUCUGUUGACCUUAACAGCAGUGGCCUGUCAAGCCAUCCCAAUGAGAUGAAUUUGAACUCUGAUGCUGUCAGUUACUCAUUGCUAACUCACUCCAACCUGGCAAGCUCUUCAAAUGUAACCGUCAUCUUCCAGCAAGGGGCUCACCCAGUAAGUGGGGAUGUAUCACAGCCAAAGGCACAACGCUCUGGCAAGAUCCUCGAAGUUUCCAUUUCUACUGUCAAUCUAAUCCAUGUCACCAGAUUUCUUUGGCUUUAAUGUCAUGGCUUUCAGUAUCAUUGACCCAAAAGCUUGCUAAUAUCUAAAAUCAGCGUAUCGAAUGUAUCCAUCUCAUCAUCCAGAAAUGUUUAAACAAAUGAGAGGGGUGUGUGACUUGAAGAUAGCUGGUAUGAAAGCAGAAGUGGGAACGAUCUGAGGGAUGAGAGGAAGUGGGCAGAGGAGAAAUGGGAGGGUUGUGACUCAUGUAUAUGCAAAUGCCAUCAUGAAACCCAUUGUGUGUAUGCUGACUAAAAGAUCAACUUACAGCAUGUUUUAAUAUGAAAAAUAAAAGGAAUGGGGGUUGAAAGACAGCUCAGCAGAUGAGAUGGAUGAGUUUGAUCCACAGGAUCCCACACGUGGAAGGAGAGAACUGACUCCGGCAAGUGGUCCUUUGGCCUCCACACGCGCACCAUGACAUGCCUCCCACAUACAUAGCUAUCAUAUAAUAUAGAGUAUUUUUAAAAGAACAGGAAGGAAGUAAAUAAUAAAGCACAUGUUUCAUUUAAAAUGAAAAAACAAACCUAGCUGCCUAUAUAUCACCCAGAUAAAAACAUUAAACAAACUUUUAAUUUCACUAGAUGAAAAGCGCUCACUUAAAAAAAUAAUAGCCAUGCUAGCAACCAGCAUCCUAGCAGUAGGGAAAGCCCAUGAAUUGCUUUAAAAUAUUGUAGCUUUCCAAAUCAUACAGAAAGAAAUCCAAAGGGAAAGUCUUGUCUCACCAACUGGCAAACUGUGGAAAGCUGCUCUUCGCCCCCACGACACUCACUCCAGCCACCACCGAGUCCAUGAACGUAUACUGAGACGCCGUUAUUAUUGCAGCUCACGGGUAGGUGUGCUGCAAUGGUAUGUUCCUACCAGUAGACUGCAUGCUGCCUUUCAGUACUCUGAGAACGAGCCAGUAGGGACGAAACUCCUUGGUCUGUAAGAACUCAAGGC